AACCUUGAUAUUCUGAAUCAUCCCCCGUAUAAUAGAACCGUCGGGGUAACCCGUCUAAGAUGCUAAACGCCCUGUGAAAUAGGCGUCGUGGACCCGGGGGCAGUGCCCGGCGGCUCCACCAUAUAGAACCGGAACAAUCAAAUAUGGUUUUAUGUGAUGGGGCCGAAACAGGCUCGACACGCGUAAUAAAGACAAGGUCUGUAUCCGUUUGAGGUACGGUCGAAUCCGUCCAAAUUUAAUAGUUGCAAAUGAUAAUGCACAAACCGUAGCAGCCAAUGACAACUCUUUUGUUGUUGCUGGUGAUAAAAUCGCUGCUUA
rnacentral:tmRNA from 1 species